rnacentral:rRNA from 1 species
UACGAAGGGGGCUAGCGUUGCUCGGAAUCACUGGGCGUAAAGGGUGCGUAGGCGGGUCUUUAAGUCAGUGGUGAAAGCCCGGAGCUCAACUCCGGAACUGCCAUUGAAACUGUUUAGCUUGAGGACGAGAGAGGUGAGUGGAAUUCCCAGUGUAGAGGUGAAAUUCGUAGAUAUUGGGAAGAACACCGGUGGCGAAGGCGGCUCACUGGCUCGUUUCUGACGCUCAGGCGCGACAGCGAGGGGAUCAAACAGG